rnacentral:rRNA from 1 species
UACGGGGGGUGCGAGCGUUGUCCGGAAUCACUGGGCGUAAAGGGCGCGUAGGCGGUGCGGUAAGUCACCUGUGAAACCUCUAGGCUCAACCUAGAGCCUGCAGGCGAAACUGCCGUGCUUGAGGGUGGGAGAGGUGCGUCGGAAUUCCGGUGUAGCGGUGAAAUGCGUAGAUAUCGGGAGGAACACCUGUGGCGAAAGCGGCGCACUGGACCACUUCUGACGCUGAGGCGCGAAAGCUAGGGGAGCAAACAGG